UUCACUGUUAUACUUGGAGGCCAUGUCACCUGAGAGUCAAUGGGCAACGAUCAAAUUUCACCUUGAGCAGAUUCUUUUGUUUGCUUUUUAGUCACAAAUAGCUUGGCCCUAAGUGGUGGCUCCCAUUCUUGUAAGAUGCGUUUAUUCAUCGUGUAAUCACCAGUUCCCUGUAGUGGGGGCGUGGAUGGAGUGUCAGAGGCUCCUGCUGGUCUUUAGGGUGUCUGGCCUCCAGGAAUCCUAGAGUAAAUUGGGAACUACAGCACUCGAUGUUAGAGUUGUCGUGAAGAUUAAAGAAGGUGACGACUGGACAACUCCCAGCCCAAUACCUGAAACUGUACCAGCACCCAGUGAGCACUGCUAUUCCUGUGACUGCUGCACAUUUGCCUUAUCUCAGCAGUAUGCCUGUGUCACUUUUUUGGCACUCUUUUCUCAUGGGUACAUUCAGAGAAGAGGAAUGUUUGUUCACUGGUGAAGAGAACAUCCCGUGUACUAUCGUGUAGAAGUUGUAGUAGACGCUGUGGUCUUUCCAACAACAAACAAAUGGGCAAGUCUAUGCAAACCUGUCCCCAAAGUCCAAGGAGGCUGAGAGGCCAAAGAAAGAGGCUGGCAAAUCCAGUCUCUUAAAAAGAAACAUUUAACAGUGUCUUACAAACAGAAGCCACGUCUGUGUCUUAGGGGACUAGACAAGAGAAUGGAUCCCCGCCAUUAGCCCCAGACCUGGAGCUCAUGUACCAGGGAAAGGGUGGUUCAGAAGAGACAUGCAGGACAACUGAAGUAUGACAACAUCACAGUUGUUUGACCUACAGGCAGGAUUUAUGCUAAGUGCCUGCUCUAACACAAGGAACAAUCGAUAAACUGAAAAUCUUGGAGGCCUUCCUGGAACUGGGGUUCAUCAAAGCCAACAUGGGAGAUUAGCUUCCAAGACAGAGUCUCUUGGCCUUAGUGGUGCUGCCUGCAGCAUUCUAGCACCCACCUCCACAUAAAAGCGAGAGGUGGUUCCCAUUUAUAUCGGAGUCUUGGAAGGAUCCAUACAUUUCAUGCAGGGAUGUCAGUCACGGCCAGCUGAUACACUUAUACAACAUUACUGAGACCAUAACUUUACAGUUUUUGUUCUUUCAAUGUAUCUCAAGGCCUGAUUCUGAGAAAUAAUACUGCUGGGGAAUUGUACAAAUGAUAUGCAUUUCAUUCUUCUGUUCUUCACUGCAUAAAAGAAACAAACUGUGAACUCGGACUUUAUCUGCCUGACCCCAGAUGGAGGAGCUUGUACUGCCUUGUCAUUAGUGUUGGGCUCUUGACUUACAUGGAGGGGUGCAUUUCGACAUGCCGCAGAAAGGUUUCCCAGGACGGGCAAUCAGAGGAGGUUUGUCAUCUGCUCAUCACCCAGUAUCUUCCUUAUUAAUAAUACUCAAGAGGGAAUUUUGUCUGAAUACUUCAGAGCUGGUCGUGGGGAUUGGGGGAGG
rnacentral:lncRNA from 1 species